UGCACAGGACUAACUUUUGGCCGAAAGGG
rnacentral:piRNA from 1 species